GACGAACGCUGGCGGCGUGCUUAACACAUGCAAGUCGAACGGAAAGGCCCUGCUUUUUUGGGGUUCUCGAGUGGCGAACGGGUGAGUAACACGUGAGUAACCUGCCCUUGACUUUGGGAUAACUUCAGGAAACUGGGGCUAAUACCGUAUAGGAGCUCCUGCUGCAUGGUGGGGGUUGGAAAGUUUCGGCGGUUGGGGAUGGACUCGCGGCUUAUCAGCUUGUUGGUGGGGUAGUGGCUUACCAAGCCUUUGACGGGUAGCCGGCCUGGGAGGGUGACCGGCGACAUUGGGACUGAGAUACGGCCCAGACUCCUACGGGAGGCAGCAGUGGGGAAUAUUGCACAAUGGGCGGAAGCCUGAUGCAGCAACGCCGCGUGCGGGAUGACGGCCUGCGGGUUGUAAACCGCUUUCGCCUGUGACGAAGCGGGAGUGACGGUAAUGGGUAAAGAAGCACCGGCUAACUACGUG
rnacentral:rRNA from 1 species